UACGUAGGGUGCAAGCGUUAAUCGGAAUUACUGGGCGUAAAGCGUGCGCAGGCGGUUUUGUAAGUCUGUCGUGAAAUCCCCGGGCUCAACCUGGGAAUUGCGAUGGAGACUGCAAGGCUAGAAUCUGGCAGAGGGGGGUAGAAUUCCACGUGUAGCAGUGAGAUGCGUAGAGAUGUGGAGGAACACCGAUGGCGAAGGCAGCCCCCUGGGCCAAUACUAACGCUCAUGCACGAAAGCGUGGGGAGCAAACAGG
rnacentral:rRNA from 1 species